GCCCUCGAAAGUGACCAUUGUCGAGACUCGCGCGGGACUGUGGUGUGUGCACGCUUUCGAGCGCGCGAAAAAAAAGGCUGUAGUUUUUUCAAUUUUCAUCAAAAUCGAGUCAACCAAAAUGGAUAUUAUUCCUCAAGAGAAUUAGUUAUGAUCCCCGGAGAUCCUGCGGAGAUCUUAACGAUUCCUAGUGUGAAAAAGUAUAGAGAAUGUGAAACCGUUGGCAUCGCCUGCUCGUUUUUGCUCCAUUGGUCAAAAAUACGCAUUCUUUGAAGCAGUGUUUUGUCGACUCGGUCGGAGCCUCGUGGCCUGCCUCGUAGGAUUAGUGUAGCGGGGCGACGCAGACAACGUCAUUCAUCAAAACGACGUCGAUGAUGAAAAUUCAGAUUGCGAUUAGUA
rnacentral:lncRNA from 2 species